rnacentral:lncRNA from 10 species
GUACCCGAGGCCGGGCCGGAGCCGCAGGCCAGCCGCGAUUCCUUCGGGCGAUGCUGGGGGCUUUCCGGUCGGGGCCGCAGCCGCUUCCGGAGCCGCGGGCGAGGUGCGUUCCCCAGCCUGGUUUGCUCUGGGCUCUGACCCGCCGCCGCGAAUCUCCGCUCGUAACUCCGGGCCUGAACCUGGAGGAGGGAGGAUUUCCUCUGUGCAGCUUUCGAGCGGUAGACUCACCCUGCCAGGCAGACCUAGAUUGGCAUAACCAGAGAUCAGUUCCAGUUGUGAUGCAGUGGGUGUCUACACACUUCUGAUGACACCUUUAUUUUAAAAGCUGAUGUUCCAAGUAGAGUCGGGGUUUCACCGUGUUAGCCAGGAUGGUCUCGAUCUCCUGACCUCGUGAUCCGCCCACCUCCGCCUCUCCAAGUGCUGGGAUUACAGGCAUGAGCCACCGCGCCCGGCCCUUGUAUUUUUAAACUUUGACUUUAUGGAGACGAACACCAUCGUUUGCUGAACACUUGAAACAUGAUGAAAGAGCCACAGAGUUGGCAGAACUGUUUGAAAAUGCUAUUUUUAGGGCAGUUUUUAGUGUCAUUAUGUUGCUGCUACAUAUUUGGAAGAUGGAACAAGCCCAGACAAAGGAGGAUUCUUUUUUACUCAUCUUAAAUCCAUUUUAUUUUCCUUCAUCUGAGCCCCUUAAAACUAAUGUGUUACUGGUGCAAGCGGUCUUCUCUGUCUUCUUUAUGGCCAGUAAAAUUCUCCAGAAGAGAUUUAUGGCAGCCUCACUCCCAGUAGUUUCUGCAUUUAGUGAGAUAAGCCACAGCAAUUGUCUGCUAUUUUAAAAGCACUGUGAUGCUUAAAUAUUCCAGCUGCUACAUCGGACAGGUGUCUGAUGAUCCUGAGAACAGUCAUCAAAAAGUAGAACUUGAGCCUGGAAUACAUUCUCUGGCAUAGCCAUAGUCAAUCACCAGUAUAAUUAAUGUAAAUGGACACUGGAUAGCUUUUUUGUGAAUUCUGAUGCAGCACAAAGAGACUUUAAUUGUUUCCAAAAAGAAAAUGUCUGAGAUUAAAAUCUAGAGUUUUAUGACU